rnacentral:piRNA from 1 species
UGAUUGAAGCCUACCAAGUUCUUUAGUGGAA